rnacentral:tRNA from 1 species
GGCAGUGUAGUUCAGUGGUAGAUCAUGUACUUUCCAUGCAAAAGGUUCUUGGUUCAAUCCCCAGCACCACCA